rnacentral:lncRNA from 1 species
GGCGUGGUUCCGGCUGCACCUGGAGGAGGGGGAUCCCCCAAAUGACCGGCGACUCCAGACAGGGAGUGGCAGCUGCUGAGCCUGAGUUGGGACGUGGCUAUUUGCAUCCCGUGAGUAGAUGUGGCUGGCGUGGAAUUUCCCUGAGCGAAUGUGCCGGAGUCGCUCCUGUGCUCAGAGACGUGCAAAAUGGCUAAGGCCGGAGAGAAGCAGGAAGGCCUUGCGGACAGGAUGCGGUGGUCACGUCCUUGGAGACCG